UCCUGUCCUUCCCUCUUGGAGGAAGGACUUUCUUCAAUUUCCUAGGUGAACAAGGUCAUGACACUGAGACACCAAACUAUGUGUACACUUUUACUAAGUUGACAAAUUUCCCCAGAGUCUUAGUAGAUAAUCUAUCAAUUAUCAUUGCCAGCAUCACCUUGUCAUCACCAUCAUGAUCACCACCGGCCUGUGCCACCAUAUCAUCAUCAUCACCACCACCACCACCGUCGUCACUGUCAUCACCAGCAUUAUUGCUGAUGUCACGAUCUCUUUAAUAUUGAGAAUUCUGGUGAUGUGAGGAUUCUGAUUCAUCUGUGCUGUGAUGUUCCGCUGUCUAAAGUCUAACCCCGAGCUCUACGGCUCUCUAGCUGUGUGACCUUGGCAACAUGAUGAAAAUCCAACUUUUCAAAGAUCUGACUCCGGCUAAAGGAAUGUAGGGCUAAUGCCAGUGACAAAAUGGACUGGCCAACAACAAGAGAGCAAGGGCAAGAACAAGCAGGCACACGGUGAGCUUCCUUCUUCCGUGUCCUCUAUGCCAGCAGAAGGCGUGGCCCGGAUUAAAGGUGGAUCUUCUCACCUCAAAGAUUUGGAUUAAAGGUCGUGUCACUGCUGUUGCUAACUUGACUCUACUAAACUGCACUGCUGGUGUAUCCAUGAGGUGUCUGCGAGUGGACUGAGCUGCCACUGCCUGCUGACCUGUGAACUGAUCUGCUGAUUUCCAGACAACACAGAUGGGAGUUGCUCCAAAGAACCUUUCUAAACAGUAAUGGAUGUCAGAUGCCUAACGUGUGCCGGAAAAGCUGUCAAGUUGGACGAGGAGGCGGAAAAGUAAUCGAGACCUGUAGUGCUUUUUGACUUACAAUGUAUUACACUGAUCAAACACUUAAAAAUAAUGAUGAAAAUAAGCUUGCUUUUAGGAGUCCCUACAGCUGGUCCCUACAGCCCCCACACCCUUCUUUCUGGCUUGCAGAGAGCAGCAGGGAGUGUGGGGGAGGCAGGAGCAAAGCACCCACAUGCCUGUGUCGAGAACCUGCCCACUGCUCUGCAGGAUGAUCCAGCCUCGGGCAAGCACAGAUACCACGUGCUGCUGGCAACACCGUGGGCACCAUUUGGUACUGAGC
rnacentral:sRNA from 1 species